rnacentral:rRNA from 1 species
GCCUUACUCAUGCNAAGUCGAGCGGCAGCGGGUAAAGUAGCUUGCUACUUUUGCCGGCGAGCGGCGGACGGGUGAGUAAUGCCUGGGAAAUUGCCCAGUCGAGGGGGAUAACAGUUGGAAACGACUGCUAAUACCGCAUACGCCCUACGGGGGAAAGCAGGGGACCUUCGGGCCUUGCGCGAUUGGAUAUGCCCAGGUGGGAUUAGCUAGUUGGUGAGGUAAUGGCUCACCAAGGCGACGAUCCCUAGCUGGUCUGAGAGGAUGAUCAGCCACACUGGAACUGAGACACGGUCCAGACUCCUACGGGAGGCAGCAGUGGGGAAUAUUGCACAAUGGGGGAAACCCUGAUGCACCCAUGCCGCGUGUGUGAAGAAGGCCUUCGGGUUGUAAAGCACUUUCAGCGAGGAGGAAAGGUUGAUGCCU